UACGUAGGGGGCUAGCGUUGUCCGGAUUUAUUGGGCGUAAAGAGCGUGUAGGCGGUCAGGUAGGUCCGGUGUGAAAACUCGAGGCUUAACCUCGAGAUGUCAUCGGAAACCAUCUGGCUAGAGUCCGGAAGAGGAGAGUGGAAUUCCUGGUGUAGCGGUGAAAUGCGCAGAUAUCAGGAAGAACACCAAUGGCGAAAGCAGCUCUCUGGGACGGUACUGACGCUGAGACGCGAAAGCGUGGGGAGCGAACAGG
rnacentral:rRNA from 1 species